UGUACGUAAAUACCAUAUAUCCUCCACGUACGUACAAAGGACACAACAGAAACAAAGUAAACAACUUCAAUCCUAAUUUAGAUGCACUGAACAUCCACUCACCGUCCCACACACAAUCUAUACGUUACACAACAUAAGAUUCAACCCUAAGAAAUGUCAGAGAACGAUAAUACAACACUUGUACAAACACACUAGUACCAAACCUAGAUUCCCCAUCUCAUUCGAGAGAGAUAAGAUAAAGAGUGUGUGUUUGAACGUAGAGGUGACUUUUUUUUUUGAGUUUUGGUGAACCAAACACACCCCCCAUCUCUUCUCAUAAUUAUUAUCACCUCUUCUACACGUUACCUCUUUGCUGCAAACUCACGCUCCUCUCCUAAUGCACGUGACUACCACGCUCCACUUUCAAUCUCUCUGUUCUUUUUACCCAACACCAUUCUUCUUUUGUCUCAAUCCAAUUCGCUUAAAAAGAUCUUUUCCAAUCUCAGUUCACAUUCAAUUAACAAAACAUGUUUCCUGAUAUAUAUACUUUUCGAUUUUUGUGUUUUUUUUUUCAAACUAAAACAUUUCACACAUAUAUGUAUGGUCACAGUCUUCUAAUCAAUUUCGUAGAAAAUUUAAAAUAACAUUUCCUCCAUUUCCUACUAAGUUUUUUCAGACUAAAAUCUUCUGGUUUAUUUCUAGUUAAUAUUUUUUAUUAGAAACUAUAAAAAUUGAUUUUUCAAAUGUAUGCAACCAAAAUGUAUAAAAAAUUAUAAUGAAAAAAAUUUAAAUGAACACUUUAUAUAAAAAUAGCGUUGGAAUUGGAAAAUUCAGUAAAAAUAAGCUUUAUCAGAUUAUUUAAAUAAGCUUUAUCAGAUUAAUUUUUAUUUUAUAUUAUUGUAAAAAGCCGCGAUAUCUGUUCAAAAAUCAGAAAUCAAGAAGUCACGCCUAUAUCUUUCUCUCUCCCGUCACUCUCACUCCUCCUCCACGUCUUGCUUAUCAUUACAUCGAUCCUCCUUUGUCUCUCAUCUCUGUUUUUCUCUUCUCCAUAGAUAAUCAAGAAUCAAUGGACUCUGCAUUGUCCCCAAGCCCAUUUGAUCCCACAAAAACACCAAACGCAGAGCCAAAGAAAAGCUUCAUGUCCUCUCUCAUUACCCUCCGCUCCAACCACUUCAAAGAAGACACUUACUUCGUCUCCGAACUCAAACCCGCCGAGCAGAAAGCUCUCCAAGACCUCAAAGAGAAGCUCUCGUCUUCCUCCUUCGGAGCUUCCUCCAUGUGGGGAGUCCCUCUCCUCGGCGGAGACGACAGAGCUGACGUCAUCCUCCUCAAGUUCCUCAGAGCAAGAGACUUCAAAGUCGGAGACUCGCUGAGGAUGCUCGAGAAGUGUUUGGAGUGGAGAGAAGAGUUCAAAGCAGAGAAACUGACCGAAGAAGAUCUUGGCUUCAAGGAUUUGGAAGGCAAAGUUGCUUACAUGAGAGGAUACGACAAGGAAGGACACCCCGUGUGUUACAACGCGUACGGUGUGUUUAAAGAGAGAGAGAUGUACGAGAGAGUGUUUGGUGACGAUGAGAAACUCAAAAGCUUUCUCAGAUGGAGAGUUCAGGUUCUGGAGAGAGGUGUCAAGAUGCUUCAUUUCAAACCUGGUGGUGUUAAUUCGAUGAUUCAGGUUACGGAUCUUAAGGACAUGCCUAAGAGAGAGCUUAGAGUUGCUUCAAACCAGAUCCUUUCUCUCUUUCAGGAUAAUUACCCUGAGAUGGUUGCUACUAAGGUAAAUGUUUCUUUUUGGAGACAAGAACUUGAAUCUCGAGAUUAUUAUGUUUCUGUACUUGUGUUGUCUGAAAAAACCCGUAGUAAAUGUUAUGUUUUUCAUGUGUUUUUGCUCUGUUUUGCGUGUUGGGUUGCUUGCGAAUCUCUCAUGCAAGAGAAUCUUAAAGUGUCUUAAAUGCUUAGUACAUGUCUGCUUAAUGAGGAAUCUAAAUCUCAUUCAAGAAAUAGUACUUAUCUUAACAUUGAUCUUGGAAUCUUGUUUAUGUUCAAAUUUUCAAAAUGGAUUUGGAAGAAAUAGUAAAGAGUGGUUUUAGAUGUUUCUGUGUUGGCAUCAUCCUCUGACUUGUGCAGUUUUGAUUCUUGUUUUUGUAUUUACUUUCCGUAAAUUUUACUUCUUAGCUUUUGUCAUCUACCGCUACAGUUAAAUUGAUGGAUUCUUUGUGUGGCCGUACGCUGAAUUUAUUAAUAAUCAGUCUCUAUUGACAAAGACAAUGCGUAAUAUCUAUAAACAAAGCAUUUCUCAUGUUGAUAUUUGAGUAACAAACUAAUAUUUUAAUAUGUAAAAAGUACUAAUAGAUCAUUUUAAAACUAUUCAACUCGUGAAGUUUUGAUGAAUCUUUUUUUGUAGAUAUUCAUCAAUGUGCCUUGGUACUUCAGUGUCAUCUACUCAAUGUUCAGCCCUUUCUUGACGCAUAGAACAAAGAGCAAGUUUGUUAUGUCCAAAGAAGGAAAUGCAGCUGAAACACUCUACAAGUAAUCACCAUACCACUCUCUCAAUACUAUUUUCUUUUAGUUUGUUUUCUUUACUUUACCCUUUUUCUAAUUAUGCAUACCAUCUUUGCUAUUUCAGGUUCAUAAGGCCAGAAGAUAUCCCGGUGCAGUACGGCGGUCUUAGCCGUCCUACUGACUCACAAAAUGGACCGCCAAAACCUGCAUCUGAAUUCUCCAUUAAGGGCGGUGAGAAAGUUAACAUUCAGAUUGAAGGCAUUGAGGUAAAUAUGUCAACAAGCAUUUUACAAAUAAAUGAUUUGAUGAAUUAUGAAAUUCUUUUUACGUGGAGAUAGAGGUGAUGGUCGAAGGAAAGAAGGAAAAAAAAAACAAGUAGUAUUGGCUUUUCUUGUAUAUUUUUCUUUCAAAAUGCUUUUUUUUUUUGUAUAUAUACUGUGGAUUUACAAAGUUAAAUCACAACAAAUGUACCAUCAAAGAAAAUUCCACAAAUUCAACCACUAGUUUUCUUGCUUCAGCUAAACAAGUUACCAUUUAUAAGUCGUUGUAAAUAAAUCAAAUUGAUAGAAUACGUCCAACCGUCAAAUUUAAAAUGAAAAUGUAAUUUGCUUCGGAGGCUGUCUUUAAGGCAUUCCCGAAUGAUUAAAGGGUACUUAAUCAAUUACUGUUCCACUGUCGCACUAAGUCAAAAGUGAACUCCAAAGCCAAAGGUUUCAAACAUUGUUAAAGUAUUAUGUCCACGAGAAUCAGCACAUUAGAGGCCCACCAGUUAUCAAUAAACGCCAAAACAUUUUACAGUUUUCCAAAUUUUGUAAUAAUUUUUGCAGAGAGAUAUUUAGAAUAUCAUAAAUGAAAACAAAAAAAAGAGACAUACUGAAAAUUCACAACUAAACAAUUAGUAUAUAGUUAACUAUAAAAGGAAGAGAUGUAUAUAAUGGAGUCUUACAAGUUCUACAAAAAAUCAAAUUGGCAAGAGCACUUACAUUCCUUUAUCAAAAAAUUACUGUAUCAAUUUUCUCUUAAUUUUGGUUUCAAAUUUUUGUAAAUAAAAUACUCAUUAAGAAGACAGGGAAUAAAUAAUAAUGAUAGAAAUUCCUACUAACUGUUGUUGUAAGUUUCAACUUAGAUGUGGUCCAACGUUAAUACCAUUGCCAUUGAUACACACAUAUAGGUAAUAAUAACUAUUCGUUUAGUUAUUCUUUUCUGGAAUGAUGUUAAUUAAAUGUUUAUUUUGUAGGUUAUGGGAAUGAACUGGAAAGUAUAAAGUCGAAAUCGCAUGGUGUGGAAAAGAUGAUUGUUUUUGGCUAAACUAAUGUAUUUUAUAUGCUAAUUGAGCGGAUCCCCAAAUAUUCUCAUAAUCCCACCUUAAUCCUUCUCAUAGUAUGUUGAAACUUGAAAUAAAGAGUGAGCUUUAAAAUCCUUUUGCUUUUUAGAAUCUAGAGGAGAGUAAGAUUUUACCAAGUUAUUGUAGUCUUUGAGUCUUAUAAUUCUAAGAUUAAUUGUACGUAAAUACCAUAUAUCCUCCACGUACGUACAAAGGACACAACAGAAACAAAGUAAACAACUUCAAUCCUAAUUUAGAUGCACUGAACAUCCACUCACCGUCCCACACACAAUCUAUACGUUACACAACAUAAGAUUCAACCCUAAGAAAUGUCAGAGAACGAUAAUACAACACUUGUACAAACACACUAGUACCAAACCUAGAUUCCCCAUCUCAUUCGAGAGAGAUAAGAUAAAGAGUGUGUGUUUGAACGUAGAGGUGACUUUUUUUUUUGAGUUUUGGUGAACCAAACACACCCCCCAUCUCUUCUCAUAAUUAUUAUCACCUCUUCUACACGUUACCUCUUUGCUGCAAACUCACGCUCCUCUCCUAAUGCACGUGACUACCACGCUCCACUUUCAAUCUCUCUGUUCUUUUUACCCAACACCAUUCUUCUUUUGUCUCA
rnacentral:lncRNA from 1 species